UACGAGGGAUGCAAGCGUUAUCCGGAAUUAUUGGGCGUAAAGCGUUCGUAGGUGGCUAAUUAAGUCUGUUGUUAAAACGUGGAGCUUAACUCCAUAUCGGCAAUGGAAACUGGUUGGCUAGAGUAUGGUAGGGGUAACAGGAAUUCCAAGUGUAGCGGUGAAAUGCGUAGAUAUUUGGAAGAACACCAGCGGCGAAAGCGUGUUACUGGGCCAUUACUGACACUGAGGGACGAAAGCUAGGGGAGCGAAAGGG
rnacentral:rRNA from 1 species